GAUUAAGUUAUUAAGGGCGCACGGUGGAUGCCUUGGCACUAGAAGCCGAUGAAGGACGUUACUAACGACGAUAUGCUUUGGGGAGCUGUAAGUAAGCUUUGAUCCAGAGAUUUCCGAAUGGGGAAACCCAGCAUGAGUUAUGUCAUGUUAUCGAUGUGUGAAUACAUAGCAUAUUAGAAGGCACACCCGGAGAACUGAAACAUCUUAGUACCCGGAGGAAGAGAAAGAAAAUUCGAUUCCCUUAGUAGCGGCGAGCGAAACGGGA
rnacentral:rRNA from 1 species